CGCACUGUCCUAGUUCAGCCAGCCGCCCGCGCCAGAGAGAGCCGAGGUCGACUCAUCCCGAAGUAGCUGACGGUCGACUCACCCCGAAGAAGCUCAAAUGUCCUUCUCUUUCGUGAGGAUUUCGCAACUAGCAAAAACUCAGUGCAGUGGAAUGCCCGGAGGUCCUGGUCAACAAAAGAAAAGGGAAGUGACCGAACCUGAAGAAGUCAAACUACUGUCCGGAUUCUCCACAAGGGCAAAAUGCUGGAGUGAUGGAGGGGCAUUUAGAUGGAGGUAAUGAAGAAAGACCCAGACAACACAACAGUGGAUGAAGUGAUGUCUGCUACUUUCUCGCUUCGCCGUAAAGAAACAGUUGGGGAUCAACCCAUGGUUGCCGACAGCAUGGAGAGAUGGCCGGCCAUGUUUUCUGAACGACAGGCCCAUGGUGACACACUUGGAGAAGCAACGAAAGACAUUCACCUUGGAAUUCUGAUUAGCUACGAAGUCAACCAGGAGGGAGCCUUUCCAGCAGCUUGUUUCGGAAGUUGUGGACUCGAGCUGAGGCGUUGUCUGGUUGUAUUUUCACUACCACACGUUGCAGAAACGAAUACGUACUUCAUGGCGCUCGGACACUGCAGGUUAACCGCAUAUAUUAUGCCUAACAGCAAGGCCACACCGUUGCCAUAUCGUUUAAAAUUGUGUAGCACAACGAUUUCCUCCACAACAACUGCCACAUGGAAGACAUCUGCUGGAGGUUGGAGCUGUAGACCUGGUAUGUUAGUCAAGUCUAGGCACUGUGUGUGCAUGUGCAUAUACAGAGGCGCGCACGCACACACACACUUCAGUUGAGUGUUUCAGGGCCAUUUUGUGUCCCUUUCUAUUCCUUAAACCAGUGUUUCUCAACAGUGGUGCCAUGGCACCCUGGGGUGCCAAACACCCCCCUCAGGGGUGCCGCGGAAACGUGGCUGACGGAAUGUGAAAAUGACCUAAAUAGAUAAAUAAGUUAUGUAAUAUAAUACAUAUUUGUCUAAAUUAAUGCUUAGUCAGUGGAAUCUUUCAUCCACCAUUUACGUUUACAUUUUUCAUCCACUAUUUACACAAUAAAGUACAUUUAGGUCACCCCAGUAUGGCCUACACAUAGCCUGUCGAAGAUAAAGCUGCAACUUUGAACGUCUCCAAAUGUGUUACUUAUCUAAGUUUGUGUGGUAUCGGAUGCAAUACCAGGUUACGGCUUGUUGGUUUGGGUGCUUUGAGAUUUUUCAUGAAUUGAAAGGGUGCCUCGCCUAAGAAAAGGUUGAGAAACACUGCCUUAUAACUUCUGCCAAUUUCAAUAUGCUGUUGUAUUGCUCACGCUACCCUUGACUUGUCAUUGCCUGCUCUCACUUGAUGCUGCAUUUUUUGACUCAGCCCUUUCUGAGAUCUGAGCUAUUCUAAUGGGGGCAGACUUUGCUUACAUUACAUUUUUUUUAACAUAGGCCUACUCCAAAUAUUAUCCCAAAAGGUAUAGCUGUUUGCUAGUUGUCUGCUGAUGUUGCAUAACCUUUUGGAUGUUAUUGGGAAUAAAUUGAGAUGUUUUUUUUUUUUAAUGUAAACAAACGCCUGCCCCCAUUACAAUGACCUGGAUCUCUGAAAGGUUUGAAGGGGGAAAAAAUCUCAGGUACUGACAAGUCCAGGGUAGUGUGAGCAUUACAACUGUAUGUCAAAAUUGGCAGAAGUUAUCAUUUAAGUUACACGGGUAGGGGGGGUGGUAAGUUAUACUUAGGGUUGUGGCUGCUGAGGGUAUGUAAACGUUUAUGUAAUCUUUUAUGCAAAGGAACAGUGCAAUGUUUGUAUGUAUUAUGAAUUGUGUUCUCUGGCUGAGAUGACUUCAUGGGUUCCUUUCUGGUAUUUUGUGCCUUCUUGCUGUCAGUCUGCAGCUACAAAAUCAAGUUACUUUACCUUACUGAUUGUGGGCACGCAGAAAGACCAGAGUGGCUUGCAUGAACUCGUCUCAGAUCAGACAACAACAUAGGAAGCGAUGGAUAUAUGGCUCAAACAUGUUUUCUUCACACCAUUUUACAGACCCGGUUGCAAACAGUACCAUGUUACUUAGAAAUGUCAAGCAUUGAUGUGCACUUUCAAUUAAAAGAUCAGUCGACCAUGUUUUCAUACUGAACUAUGUUGUAACAUAAAUCCAUCCUUUCCUAUGUUGAAUGAUGUACCUUAUUAAAAUGUUUAGAUGCCAGAGCUACACAACUUGCUGAUCAACACCUUUUGAAAUGCUCUGUUACAAACAGUAUCAUUUUACUAUGAAAUUUCCAACGUUAGCAUGUUUUUUGUUUAAUAAAACAAUUCACCACGUUUUACUGAACUUCUUCUCUGAUCUGAGACGUUCCUCUCUGGCCUUUGUGUGCCCCCAGUAAAUCUGUAGAAAAUUGCCACAUUUCAUUUAAAGGUGCACUGUGCAGGAAAUGGUCAAAAAAGGUAGGCCUACUGCAACUAUGCUGCUCAUUGAAACUGGGUUGCCUAUUGCCAAAUUUGAUCUUUUCACGAACGUUUACCAAGUAAAACUUUUCAAGUAAAAAACGUUUUCUAUUAUGGCCCAAGUACAGUCAUUUUUGCAGCUAAAAUGUCUAUUUCUAUAAAUUCAAAAUGGCGUACCAUGGAGAAGGUCCCCCUUUUCAUGUAUGAAAAGUGCAAUUUUCCCAGUCAUAAUGAAUACUUGGAAUUUGAUCGUGGUGGGUAAGUAUUCAUGAAAAAGGUAACAUUAGUGAAUGGGUUGCAUGAAUUCUGGAAAGAAACUAAAAAUCUUACACAUUGCAUCUUUACUACACCCGACUGAUUGUGGGCACAUGCAAAGACUAUAAAGAUGCUUGAA